GCAAGUUCCCCUGUUUUUGUAGCUCUGUAAAAUCGUGUUUAACUCUAGACUGAUAAAACCACCUGUGGGAAAGCAUCAGCUUCAUCUGGAGGCCAAAGCACAGAGCUGGGGCCAGCUCCAUCCAGAGACAACCUGACGGGUUCCAGCUGCCACCAGCACUCCCGAGCACCCUCUUCUUGAUCUUCUGGAUUAACUGUUCCACAGUCAUGCACGAGGCAAUGUCCAAGGUUCUUCAGCAGCAGAGGGAGAUGCUGGUGCAGAUAAAGGCUCUUCAAGGCAGCAGGGAGCUCCAUCCUGAGCAGCGUCUGUGGAGGAAAGUGAGCUGCAGCAUUUAGAGCUGGGCUGGUAAAACACAUCUCACUUUGUGCUGAGGCCACAGAAACUGGAACACCCAU
rnacentral:lncRNA from 1 species